AAAAUACUAGUAAAACCGAGUAUUACAUUGCCUUGUCAGGGCAAAAUUGCAGGUUAAAAUCCUGCGUAUUUUA
rnacentral:tRNA from 1 species